rnacentral:rRNA from 1 species
GACGGAGAGUGCAAGCGUUAUUCGGAAUCAUUGGGCGUAAAGAGCGUGUAGGCGGCCGGUCAAGUCAGAGGUGAAAGCCCAGGGCUCAACCCUGGAAGGGCCUUUGAAACUGGUCGGCUUGAGUGCGGGAGAGGGAAGUGGAAUUCCUGGUGUAGAGGUGAAAUUCGUAGAUAUCAGGAGGAACACCGGUGGCGAAGGCGACUUCCUGGACCGACACUGACGCUGAGACGCGAAAGCGUGGGGAGCAAACAGG